rfam:Triticum aestivum genome assembly, contig: Triticum_aestivum_CS42_TGACv1_scaffold_221389_3B
AAACUACUCCCUCCGUCCAAAAAUACUUGUCAUCAAAAUGGACAAAAAGAGAUGUAAUACGUCUACAUACAUCCCCUUUUAUCCAUUUUGAUGACAAGUAUUUCCGGACGGAGGGAGUAAUUA